rnacentral:rRNA from 1 species
GAACGCUGGCGGCGUGCCUAACACAUGCAAGUCCAACGUGAAAGGGGAGCAAUCCCCCGGUAGGGUGGCAAACGGGUGAGUAAUACAUGGGUGAUCUACCUUAGGGAUGGGGAUAUCCUUCCGAAAGGAGGGGCAAUACCGAAUAUUGUCCGGAGCCGUGAAGGGUUCCGGGGAAAGGGAGGCCUCUGAUACAAGCUUUCGCCUUAAGAUGAGCCCAUGGCCCAUCAGCUAGUUGGUAGGGUAAAGGCCUACCAAGGCUACGACGGGUCGCUGGUCUGAGAGGACGACCAGCCACACUGGCACUGAGAUACGGGCCAGACUCCUACGGGAGGCAGCAGUGAGGAAUAUUGCGCAAUGGGGGAAACCCUGACGCAGCAACGCCGCGUGUGGGAAGAAGGCCUUCGGGUCGUAAACCACUUUUGCACGGGACGAAAAAGGGAUAUCGAACAAAUAUCCCCGAUGGCGGUACCGUGAGAAUAAGCCACGGCUAACUCUGUGCCAGCAGCCGCGGUAAGACAGAGGUGGCAAGCGUUGUUCGGAAUUACUGGGCGUAAAGAGUCUGUAGGUGGUUUGUCAAGUCUUUGGUGAAAGGACGUAGCUUAACUAUGGGAAUGCCAAAGAGACUGGCAGGCUGGAGGCUGGGAGAGGGAAGCGGAAUUUCUGGUGUAGCGGUGAAAUACGUAGAUAUCAGAAGGAAGGCCGGUGGCGAAGGCGGCUUCCUGGAACAGUCCUGACACUGAGA